UGGGGAAUAUUGGACAAUGGGCGCAAGCCUGAUCCAGCCAUGCCGCGUGAGUGAUGAAGGCCCUAGGGUUGUAAAGCUCUUUCACCGGUGAAGAUAAUGACGGUAACCGGAGAAGAAGCCCCGGCUAACUUCGUGCCAGCAGCCGCGGUAAUACGAAGGGGGCUAGCGUUGUUCGGAUUUACUGGGCGUAAAGCGCACGUAGGCGGACUUUUAAGUCAGGGGUGAAAUCCCGGGGCUCAACCCCGGAACUGCCUUUGAUACUGGAAGUCUUGAGUAUGGUAGAGGUGAGUGGAAUUCCGGGUGUAGAGGUGAAAUUCGUAGAUAUUCGGAGGAACACCAGUGGCGAAGGCGGCUCACUGGACCAUUACUGACGCUGAGGUGCGAAAGCGUGGGGAGCAAACAGG
rnacentral:rRNA from 2 species